UAAAUUCCCUCCUUCGGGGACACCAGAACCUCGGCUUCCAGGGUUGUCACUGAGCCGGUGCUAUGCCAGGGCGGCCCAUAUGGUCGAGCGGUUGUCGCCAGAGACACAGAGCAUAAAUAAACCCUGGGAGUACAGAUGGGAGGCCGGCUAGGCUGGCUCCACUUCCUGGUCUCAUCACAGGGGAGUCCGUGUGGAAGCCCUGGGAGGCACCUCAGCCAUUUUCCAGGCCAACGACUGCAUUUGUCAGACGAGAAAAGCCAGAGGUUAAGGGACUUGCCAAAAGUCACACAGUGAGUCAACUGAAAAGCAGUAAGAGGUGGUGGCUAAGAGCACAGCAUGACUCCAUUGCCCUUGGCUUUGGCAAGUGACUGAAGUUCUCAGUUUCCUCAUACCAUGAGUGUGAGGUUAGUACCUGCCACAUUAGGUGCGUGGGACCCAAUCAAACGUAAAUGUGUGAGGCGCCCACUGCCAGGUUCAUAAUCACUGCUCCGUGGCUGCUGAUGGUUCUGAUGCUUAUCAUGACCGCUAGGAGCUGGAGAUAGAUCUUGAGAUCUCUUCUGCCCGGGUCAUGGGUAAACAUGAUGGAUAAAAUUAUGUGAACCAGAGUUUGAAUUUUGGCUUCUAGUUUUGUGACUCCCCCUUUCUGAGCUCUCGUUCUCAUCUGUAAAGCGGAGCAGCGACACCACUGUUCACAGGCUUGCUGCGAGGAUGGGAGGCAGCAGCGAGGGGACGGAGCCCUCCCAGCAGUAAACCGCAACUGUGACCCCCUAAUUCAAAGCUCCUCCCCUCGGCGGCAGCGAGGACAACGGCUUUCAGUUUGAAGAAUGUGACACUCGGCGCCAAACCCUUUCCAGGUGGCUGUUACACUAAGAUGGAGCCAGAGCAUCUCGGGAUGCUGUCCGACACUCCGAGGGCAGCAGAACUCUCGCUGGGUGGCUGAUGGCAGACCCAUUCUCUUGCCUCGAAUGCAGCAGACUGACCGCUUCCAGUCCUGUGCUGUCCCACUCCGCAUGAUCAGCAGUGGACGAUCACAAUGGGAAUGGCCGAAUGAACAGGAGAACAUGCAGCCUGCAGUCUCUGGUAUGUGCCAGGGACACAGAGAUAACGGGAAAUGACGAAUGAGGCCAAAGCCAGCUAAAGAUGGGACUCCAGUUUGGCAUGUAACUGAGAAUUCUCCUCUGCUCUUGCACAAUGACAGACAAGGUCUCGUGGCCUUGAGGUGGGUCUGGGAAGGGGGUGAAUCUGGCUGGGCAGCUGGGGGCCAGAGUCUAAUUGAGUCCCCUGCUUUACCACCGAGAUCCUGAUGUCCUUGGUCCUCAGCUCCUGAGUGAUUCUUUCUAUAUCCCAGUGAUAACCAGCAUGACGUGACAGGUAGGGGGGAGGGGACACCCAAAACUCAUUGAUGAGUUCUGGCCACAAAGAAACUUCUGCAAAUGGAAAGAACCAUUACACACUUGCACACACACACACACACACGGGCUAUUCAUUUUAGAAAAAUCAUGGUCUAUUUGAUGACGGCUUAUGUUUCUUUCUAAAUUGAGUUCAAACUGGCAUAAAAACAUGUAUUUUGCUUUGUCCUUUGGCCUCUCUUCUUCUCAUUAUCUGAUAUUCUUUUGAGGAUCAGAUGCACGUCUAUCACAGGGAACAGGAACACCGAGGACAGGCAGCAAACAGCUUGGAGUGGUUACAAGGAUGAGCUUCCAGAGUCACGGGGCACGGGGCACCCAAGGCCUCGGGCACGUGGCAGAGCACAUUUGUUCCUUAAAGUCGGUAGGAUCCAGUCUGUGUUUUGAUAACAUUGCUCUGAAGGAGGCUCCGUCCCUUCUAAGUCAUGCCCUGGAGCUUAGUCCAUCAUAUGGCUCCUCUUAUUUUAUUCACAGCACUUAUUCUUACCUUUACCUCAUUGUCGAUUUGCUUAUAAUCUCUCUCCUCUAGAAGAAAGAGAGUUUGACAAGAGCAGCCACCUUAUCUGUCUUGUUCACCCACGUUUUCCCAGCUUAGAGCAGUGCCUGCCAUAGUGCAGGCACUUGACAAAUAUCUAUUGAAUGAAUGAAUGAAUGAAUGGCCCUCAGCCUUGCCUUCUUACUUAACACAAGCCUGGGGCAACCACGAUGCAGCCGAGGUGUACCAUCAGGAGAUCCAGUCUGCUGCCCCAGGAAAACCCCUAAAAUGGACUUUCCAUACCCACACCACAACAUGGAUGUCAUCUCCCCCAAACAGGAUAGCUUCGAGCGUGCAUUCAGUUCACGCAGGUGAAAAGUUCCCACGUGUUUUCUGGCACGUGGCAGGAGUUUGCCCAGGCAUUGCUGAAUCCAACACAGCUUUUAUCAUUUCCCCCAUUUCAGAGAAGAAAAGACUGAGGCUCAGAGGUGGACAGAAGUGGUAAAGCCAUGACUCAUGCCCCUAUCUUCUGAUUCUCCGAUCACAGCUCUUUCUGCCUCUUUAUGCCAUUUUUCUAGAACAAUCUCCCACACACACACUCAGUGCAUGUUAGUGGUUUAAGCUUACAUUUUUUAAUUUAAAAAAAUUUAAUUUAACAUUUUCCCCAAACAAACGCUUCAUUUUUCUUCUCAGCCAAGGCGUAUUCCCAAGUAAAGGCUUCAGAUAGACAGAUGGAAAGAGGGACAAGGGUCAUUUUCUACAGAGGGCAAUCUUUCUGGCAGGUCUUAGGGGGCAAACCCUGAACCCAGGCAUGCGGUGGACCCGGGGGACUCCCCCAGUCCUCCUCUCCCUCCUUUCCCCUGGAAGGGCAGCUGGGUCCUCUGGGCAAGCUGCAGAGCAAGGACCCUCCUCCCUCUUAGCUUCCCUCUCAAGCCUCAGUGGGAUGGGGACAAACGAUUUCUCUUGCAGGCGAAGAUCGGGCAGAGGUUUCUGGGCUGUGCCAAGCCACGGUUUUGUUUUACCUCGUGAUGAGGAACAGCUGUGUCCCAAAGGGGCGGCACCUCGCCGCCUCCGCAGUGUUUUGAUAAGAGGCGCGGGGUUGGCGAGUGUGGACGAGAUGAGGAAUCGCGUUUCUCGCAACAGUCCUCGCGCUCCAGGUCACGAGCUAAUCUCCUUUGGGAAACCGAGACCAGAGAUGGGCCUCCCUCUCUCCCUGCUAUCUCAGGGUAUUUUCUGUCACCAUGGAGAAUGGUAGAGGCUGGAAAAGGUCAAAAGGACACGGCCUACGAGCUGAGGCGGCAGAGCAGUGAAGCCUGUUGGAAAGUGCCAGCAUCCAAGAGGAGGAUGGUGAGAACCGUAGAGCCGGGUGCCGGGUCAGUCGGAUGGACACGGGUUCCAAGGCCACCUCUGUGCCGCCAGCUGUGGAUGUCCGAGUCUCAGUUUCCAUAUCCGUACCUAAAGGGCUGGUAGGAGUGAACGAGUUGGGCUGUGCAGGGCCCUUUGGUGUUUCAGGCGAUGUGAGUUGAAGAAGGAAUGAGCGCUUGGUCUUCAGAAGGGGCAGAGACGAGCCGCCAGGUCGGGUCAGAGUCACGGUUAACAAGCUCUCGGCUCCUCACUCCGUCGCUGUUUGGUUUUCACUGCGUCGCGAUUUUGCAGCUUUCCCACUCGGACCACCAACUUUCCUGAGCGUUUAGCCUUCUCUGCCGGCUGCCGUCCCCUCCCUCUCAGAGUCCCCCACCCCCAUCCGCAUCUACUUGAUGAUGACAGGAAUCGCCAGGGGCACCAGGCAGCUCAGAAGUAUACUCCAGGACAUGGCUGUCACACUUUUCUUUUUUCCUAAGACCCACAGUAAGAAAUAUAUUAAUAAAUUUUGCAUUGCAAAUCAACCCACACAUACAUAUAAAUGACUGAUUAAAGAAAUUUCAUGAAACACUCCCCGUCCUUCUUAUCUGCACUCUAUUAUUUUCUUUUCCAUUCCACUUCAUUCCAUUCUAUUCUACUUUAUUUUGCCUUUGAAAGUGCUGGUUACCACCCAGUAAUCUAGUUCAUUAACCAGCUGCCAGUUUGAGAAACACUGGUUUCCGGUGGGACUGCCAUGCCGUUCUCUCUGUCCAGUUGUGGACUGUAUCAGUGGCCCUAGAAACCUGUGUUCCAAUUCACAGCCUAAGAAUCAUCAGGGGCCUUGAUAAAUGUACAAAUUUCCAGGCUCCAUCCCCAGAGAUUUGACAGCGUUUCAGAGACUGGUCAGAACCAGAGUGUCUCGUGGGGUCUCCCUGGCACUGAGAUGGAGAUUCUGAUUCCAGGGAGAAAGCUUCUGAUUGGUCUAGAUGGGUCAGAGAAGGAAGAUGCCUUGAUGGGCAGUCCCACCAACACUGUAUCCCUUGGGGUGGGUAGCUCCCCAAAGUAAGUAGAAGAAAGGGUGAUGGAUGCUGCCAGGGACUGUUUGUGUCGCCCCAAAAUUCAUAUGUUGAAAUUCUGACCCCGAAUGUGAUGGUAUCUGGAGGUGGGGCC